AUUUAGUUGACGAGUCCUAAAUAGGACUAUAUGAACAUCCUGGAU
rfam:Schistosoma mansoni strain Puerto Rico chromosome W, complete genome